ACGGAAGGCAGCAGUCGGGAAUAUUGCGCAAUGGAGGAAACUCUGACGCAGUGACGCCGCGUGCAGGAAGAAGGUUUUCGGAUUGUAAACUGCUUUAGUCAGGGAAGAAAAAAAUGACAGUACCUGUAGAAUAAGCUCCGGCUAACUACGUGCCAGCAGCCGCGGUAAUACGUAGGGAGCAAGCGUUAUCCGGAUUUAUUGGGUGUAAAGGGUGCGUAGACGGGAAGUUAAGUUAGUUGUGAAAUCCCACGGCUCAACUGUGGAACUGCAACUAAAACUGAAUUUCUUGAGUGCUGGAGAGGAAAGUGGAAUUCCUAGUGUAGCGGUGAAAUGCGUAGAUAUUAGGAGGAACACCAGUGGCGAAGGCGACUUUCUGGACAGAAACUGACGUUGAGGCGCGAAAGUGUGGGGAGCAAACAGGAUUAGAUACCCUGGUA
rnacentral:rRNA from 1 species